ACUCCUACGGGAGGCAGCAGUGGGGAAUAUUGCACAAUGGGCGCAAGCCUGAUGCAGCCAUGCCGCGUGUAUGAAGAAGGCCUUCGGGUUGUAAAGUACUUUCAGCAGUGAGGAAGGUGGAUAUGUUAAUAGCAUAUUCAUUUGACGUUAGCUGCAGAAGAAGCACCGGCUAACUCCGUGCCAGCAGCCGCGGUAAUACGGAGGGUGCGAGCGUUAAUCGGAAUUACUGGGCGUAAAGCGCAUGCAGGUGGUUUGUUAAGUCAGAUGUGAAAGCCCGGGGCUCAACCUCGGAAUUGCAUUUGAAACUGGCAAACUAGAGUACUGUAGAGGGGGGUAGAAUUUCAGGUGUAGCGGUGAAAUGCGUAGAGAUCUGAAGGAAUACCGGUGGCGAAGGCGGCCCCCUGGACAGAUACUGACACUCAGAUGCGAAAGCGUGGGGAGCAAACAGGAUUAGAUACCCUGGUAGGCG
rnacentral:rRNA from 1 species